rnacentral:rRNA from 1 species
CAGUAGCCGCGGGAAUACGGAGGGAGCUAGUGUUGUUCGGAAUUACUGGGCGUAAAGCGCACGUAGGCGGUUAUUCAAGUCAGAGGUGAAAGCCCGGGGCUCAACCCCGGAACUGCCUUUGAAACUAGAUGACUGGAAUCUUGGAGAGGUCAGUGGAAUUCCGAGUGUAGAGGUGAAAUUCGCAGAUAUUCGGAAGAACACCAGUGGCGAAGGCGACUGACUGGACAAGUAUUGACGCUGAGGUGCGAAAGCGUGGGGAGCAAACAGGAUUAGAUACCCCAGUAGUCCCUGUCUCUUAUAC